UGGCCUUAUGGUGUAGAGGUAAGCAUAGAAGACUUUCAAUCUUCUGACAUGGGUUCGAUUCCCAUUAAGGCUAU
rnacentral:tRNA from 1 species